rnacentral:rRNA from 1 species
AGUGAACGCUGGCGGUAGGCCUAACACAUGCAAGUCGAACGGCAGCACAGUAAGAGCUUGCUCUUACGGGUGGCGAGUGGCGGACGGGUGAGGAAUACAUCGGAAUCUACUUUUUCGUGGGGGAUAACGUAGGGAAACUUACGCUAAUACCGCAUACGACCUACGGGUGAAAGCAGGGGAUCUUCGGACCUUGCGCGAUUGAAUGAGCCGAUGUCGGAUUAGCUAGUUGGCGGGGUAAAGGCCCACCAAGGCGACGAUCCGUAGCUGGUCUGAGAGGAUGAUCAGCCACACUGGAACUGAGACACGGUCCAGACUCCUACGGGAGGCAGCAGUGGGGAAUAUUGGACAAUGGGCGCAAGCCUGAUCCAGCCAUACCGCGUGGGUGAAGAAGGCCUUCGGGUUGUAAAGUCCUUUUGUUGGGAAAGAAAAGCAGCAGGUUAAUACCCCGCUGUUCUGACGGUACCCAAAGAAUAAGCACCGGCUAACUUCGU